UGCAAGUCGUGACAGUGAGUCACCCGUUCGCUUGCUCUCGGGUGACGAGCGGCGGACGGGUGAGUAAUGUCUGGGAAACUGCCUGAUGGAGGGGGAUAACUACUGGAAACGGUAGCUAAUACCGCAUAACGUCGCAAGACCAAAGUGGGGGACCUUCGGGCCUCAUGCCAUCAGAUGUGCCCAGAUGGGAUUAGCUAGUAGGUGGGGUAACGGCUCACCUAGGCGACGAUCCCUAGCUGGUCUGAGAGGAUGACCAGCCACACUGGAACUGAGACACGGUCCAGACUCCUACGGGAGGCAGCAGUGGGGAAUAUUGCACAAUGGGCGCAAGCCUGAUGCAGCCAUGCCGCGUGUGUGAAGAAGGCCUUCGGGUUGUAAAGCACUUUCAGCGGGGAGGAAGGCGAUAAGGUUAAUAACCUUGUCGAUUGACGUUACCCGCAGAAGAAGCACCGGCUAACUCCGUGCCAGCAGCCGCGGUAAUACGGAGGGUGCAAGCGUUAAUCGGAAUUACUGGGCGUAAAGCGCACGCAGGCGGUCUGUCAAGUCGGAUGUGAAAUCCCCGGGCUCAACCUGGGAACUGCAUUCGAAACUGGCAGGCUAGAGUCUUGUAGAGGGGGGUAGAAUUCCAGGUGUAGCGGUGAAAUGCGUAGAGAUCUGGAGGAAUACCGGUGGCGAAGGCGGCCCCCUGGACAAAGACUGACGCUCAGGUGCGAAAGCGUGGGGAGCAAACAGGAUUAGAUACCCUGGUAGUCCACGCCGUAAACGAUGUCGAUUUGGAGGUUGUGCCCUUGAGGCGUGGCUUCCGGAGCUAACGCGUUAAAUCGACCGCCUGGGGAGUACGGCCGCAAGGUUAAAACUCAAAUGAAUUGACGGGGGCCCGCACAAGCGGUGGAGCAUGUGGUUUAAUUCGAUGCAACGCGAAGAACCUUACCUGGUCUUGACAUCCACAGAACUUUCCAGAGAUGGAUUGGUGCCUUCGGGAACUGUGAGACAGGUGCUGCAUGGCAGUCGUCAGCUCGUGUUGUGAAAUGUUGGGUUAAGUCCCGCAACGAGCGCAACCCUUAUCCUUUGUUGCCAGCGGUUAGGCCGGGAACUCAAAGGAGACUGCCAGUGAUAAACUGGAGGAAGGUGGGGAUGACGUCAAGUCAUCAUGGCCCUUACGACCAGGGCUACACACGUGCUACAAUGGCAUAUACAAAGAGAAGCGACCUCGCGAGAGCAAGCGGACCUCAUAAAGUAUGUCGUAGUCCGGAUUGGAGUCUGCAACUCGACUCCAUGAAGUCGGAAUCGCUAGUAAUCGUAGAUCAGAAUGCUACGGUGAAUACGUUCCCGGGCCUUGUACACACCGCCCGUCACACCAUGGGAGUGGGUUGCAAAAGAA
rnacentral:rRNA from 1 species